rnacentral:rRNA from 1 species
CAGCCGCCGCGGUAAUACGUAGGGUGCGAGCGUUAAUCGGAAUUACUGGGCGUAAAGCGUGCGCAGGCGGUUGUGUAAGACAGGUGUGAAACCCCCGGGCUUAACCUGGGAACUGCGCUUGUGACUGCACAGCUAGAGUAUGGCAGAGGGGGGUGGAAUUCCACGUGUAGCAGUGAAAUGCGUAGAGAUGUGGAGGAACACCGAUGGCGAAGGCAGCCCCCUGGGCCAAUACUGACGCUCAUGCACGAAAGCGUGGGGAGCAAACAGGAUUAGAUACCCCCGUAGUCCCUGUCUCUUAUAA